rnacentral:rRNA from 1 species
UUUUUGGAGAGUUUGAUCCUGGCUCAGGACGAACGCUGGCGGCGUGCCUAAUACAUGCAAGUCGAGCG